GAUGAACGCUGGCGGCGUGACUAAUACAUGCAAGUCGAGCGAACGGACGAGAAGCUUGCUUCUCUGAUGUUAGCGGCGGACGGGUGAGUAACACGUGGAUAACCUACCUAUAAGACUGGGAUAACUUCGGGAAACCGGAGCUAAUACCGGAUAAUAUAUUGAACCGCAUGGUUCAAUAGUGAAAGACGGUUUUGCUGUCACUUAUAGAUGGAUCCGCGCCGCAUUAGCUAGUUGGUAAGGUAACGGCUUACCAAGGCAACGAUGCGUAGCCGACCUGAGAGGGUGAUCGGCCACACUGGAACUGAGACACGGUCCAGACUCCUACGGGAGGCAGCAGUAGGGAAUCUUCCGCAAUGGGCGAAAGCCUGACGGAGCAACGCCGCGUGAGUGAUGAAGGUCUUCGGAUCGUAAAACUCUGUUAUUAGGGAAGAACAAAUGUGUAAGUAACUAUGCACGUCUUGACGGUACCUAAUCAGAAAGCCACGGCUAACUACGUG
rnacentral:rRNA from 1 species